CAGGCACUCAAAGACACUGAACUCUCAGCCUGAGGCAGGACUCAGCACAUUUGUGCAGGGGAACCCAUGCCUCAUGCCGCUCUCCAGUCUGCUCUGGGUGUUCCUGGCCUUCACCUUCUCUGGAUCUGGUGUGGCGCAGAAAGUUAUUCAAGACCAGCCAGACAUAUCUGGUCAACUGGGACAGCCAGUCACCCUGAACUGUCGGUAUGGAACAACCUGGAGCAAUUACUACAUGUUUUGGUACAAGCUGCUUCCCAAUGGAGAGAUGAUUUACCUUAUUGGUCAGGUUUCUUCUAGCCAGAAUGCAAGGAAUGGCCGCUACUCUGUAAAUUUUCAGAAAGCUCGUAAAUCCAUCAGCCUCACCAUUUCAGACUUAGAGCUGGAAGAUUCUGCAGAGUAUUUCUGUGCUCUCUGGGAGAUCACAGUGCUUGAAUAUCCUGGAGAAGGUCCACAGCUCCUCCUAAAAGCCACGAAGGCCAACAAGAAGCAAAGCCACAAAGGUUUUGAAGCCAGAUACAAUGCAAAAACCACCUCCUUCCACUUGGAGAAAGCCUCAGUCCAAGAGUCAGACUCAGCUGUGUACUACUGUGCUCUGAGUGACACAAUUGAAGUAGAGCUGACACACAGCGUUGUGUCAGUGUCAGGUGCACAGCAGAGUCACCGUCACGUGCACGAGUGUAGUGUGUGA